AACGCGAAGAACCUUACCUGGGCUCGAAAUGUAGUGGAAUAGGGUGGAAACAUCCUAGGCUCGCAAGAGACUGCUAUAUAGGUGCUGCAUGGCUGUCGUCAGCUCGUGUCGUGAGAUGUUGGGUUAAGUCCCGCAACGAGCGCAACCCUUAUCCCUAGUUGCCAUCGGGUCAAGCCGGGCACUCUAGUGAAACCGCCCCGGAUAACGGGGAGGAAGGUGGGGAUGACGUCAAGUCCUCAUGGCCUUUAUGUCCAGGGCUACACACGUGCUACAAUGGCCGGUACAAACCGCUGCAACCCCGCGAGGGUGAGCUAAUCGGAAAAAGCCGGCCUCAGUUCGGAUUGGAGUCUGCAACUCGACUCCAUGAAGCUGGAAUCGCUAGUAAUCGUGGAUCAGCAUGCCACGGUGAAUACGUUCCCGGGCCUUGUACACACCGCGCAUA
rnacentral:rRNA from 1 species